rnacentral:rRNA from 1 species
UACGUAGGGCGCAAGCGUUUGUCCGGAAUUAUUGGGCGUAAAGAGCUCGUAGGCGGUUUGUCGCGUCUGCUGUGAAAACUCGAGGCUCAACCUCGGGCUUGCAGUGGGUACGGGCAGACUAGAGUGCGGUAGGGGUGACUGGAAUUCCUGGUGUAGCGGUGGAAUGCGCAGAUAUCAGGAGGAACACCGAUGGCGAAGGCAGGUCACUGGGCCGCAACUGACGCUGAGGAGCGAAAGCAUGGGGAGCGAACAGG